UUUUGAAUCAAACUAAGUAACAGAUGAUUAAAGAACAAAACAGAUUAGAGGAAACAAGAAACACAAGGAACUGAAAAGAACAGAAAUAAGAGAACGAACAAAGAAACUUAAAGAAAUAAAAUAAGAACAAAGGAACAAAGAUGAUAAAGGAUAAGUAACCUGAUUUCUAGAACCAAAGCUCUGAUACCAAAUGACAAGAACCCACCAGGAGACCUGCCCUAGGA
rnacentral:lncRNA from 1 species